AAAAGGUUUUGGGGAAGAUGUUGUCCCUACUGGCAGAGGAUGAAGUGGUAAGAAGCUGAGAGAGGGUUGAGACAGAGGGAAGCAGACUCUCUUCCCCGCGGCGCCCUCAUGAUCAGCAUCACAUCUUUAAAGGUACCUUCAUCACCUCUUCCUUUCUUUCUUUUUUCCACUGCCUCCAUGUCAAUGCUGGACAGGAGCAUGAGUGAAGCAUGAGUUUCCUUCCAUUUUCAAAACAAACCUUUAACUUAGAAUGAAGGUGAAAGAAUGUAUUUUUUCCUAAAUCAACAGUGUAAACUGGCUGGACUGUUUUGUAAAAAUAUCACACCCUCUGGAUGUUUCAUGAGCUGAUUUGCAUGGUACCAGAUGAGUUUCUUUUUUCCUCUUUCAAUCAGCUCAAGUAAAUAUACAACAUGCAGCCAAAUUACAUCCUCUUACAGGAAGAGAGAUUUCAAAAUCUUUUCUUAUUGUUUACCUGAAUCUGUUUGUUCACAGUUUCUCAGACAGGCAAGAUAUCCUCAGAACAAAGUUACUAAAAGGAUUUUCAGGUGACACAGGCUGCAGCUGGAAGUUAGUUAUGUAACUUUGGUUUUGUGGCUCUUUCCAUUUUCACGGUGUACAGCAGAUACUAAUUAACAUGGAAAUUGAUUUGUGUGCUUGAGCAUUCCAGCUAGCUGCAACAAGCAUUUCACGCUCUGCGUUGGAAAAUGUUCUCAUUGCUUCUUUGGUAAUGCUGAGCCAUGGACAGAUGACAAUGACAGUUCACUUUUGUCACUCUGUGAAUGAAGGAGUAAAUAAGUGCCCCAUCCACAGAACCACGGAGCUCAUGUAAUCCACUCAAAAAGGGACCCUGGUCCAGCAACUUUGAUGCAACCUGACUUUCCUUGGACACUUCCAGUGACAGGAGACUCACUACUGUCGUCCAGCUGUUUGCCAUGGCUCUGCUAGGUCUGAGUUAAAGGGGGUCACUCACACGACUGUUUCCCCUUUUGGAGCUCCCAGUGAGAGGCCACAACCCCACGGCAACUGGAAAGAUGCCCAUCUAAUAGUCUACCCCCUCUAAGGUCAGAAUUCUCUCAUAAAGGUGCAGUGGCAUGCACCUGGAGUCCCAGCUACUCAGGAGGCUGAGGUGGGAAGAUUGCUUGAGCCCAGGAGUUCAAGUCCAGUCUAAGCAGCACGGCAAGACUCCAUCUCUUAAAAAAAAAAAAAAAAAAAAAAUCUCCCAUAAAGCUUGCUCCUUUGCAGGAAAGGAUUUCUAAAAGGCAUUCUUUGGAAACUCCAACGUAAAGCAAAAUCUAUUAGACAUCUAGGAUAUGGUCUUGAAAUUAAUGUUAAGUGAGAACUGACAUAUCAAAGAUUUCUGGAGAAACAAGUCAGAAAUUAAGGUGUCAGCAGGGCCACACUCUCUCUCUGGAGGAUCUAGGGGAAAAUUUUGUUUCCUGGCUUUCUGCCUUUAGAAGCUGCC
rnacentral:lncRNA from 1 species